rnacentral:sRNA from 1 species
GCUGGGCGUGGUGGUGCUCACCUGUAAUCCUAUCGCCUCUGGAGGCUGAGAUAGGAGGAUGAGAGUUCAAAGCCAGCCCCAGCAACUUAGCCAGGUCCUGAAGCAACUCAGCCUGUCUCUA